rnacentral:rRNA from 1 species
UACAGAGGUCCCAAGCGUUGUUCGGAUUCACUGGGCGUAAAGGGUGCGUAGGCGGUUGGGUAAGUCUGUCGUGAAAUCUCCGAGCCUAACUCGGAAACUGCGUCGGAUACUAUUCAACUCGAGGGAUGGAGGGGAGACUGGAAUUCUCGGUGUAGCAGUGAAAUGCGUAGAUAUCGUGAGGAAGACCAGUGGCGAAGGCGGGUCUCUGGACAGUUCCUGACACUGAGGCACGAAGGCCAGGGGAGCAAACGGG